CUCAUUUCUAUUACAGGCAUCAAAGUGAUAUGUAAUUAUACAAGAACUGAAGCAAAAAUGUUCUUGCUAUAACAGAUGUAUUGUAUCAUGAUAGUUAACAUUGAUGUAUAUGAUCUUAUUUGGGUGUAACAAUGUGUAGUAAUACAGUAUCUGUAGUAGUAAUCUGUUAUCGCUACCAAAAGAAAAUUGAAAAGAGAUAAACAUGCCAAACAGCCAAAGUGGUGUCACAGCUCAUGGGACUACAAAGUGAUAAUUAUACUAGAAUAACUUGAUUAUACAGUUAGUUCAAACUGAUUGGGUCAUUCAAAAAAAUAUCCACACCCCUAAUGGAAGAGAUGGGAGGUUCAGCUUCCUCCCACUUUUGGACACCCUUAGCUAAUACUUUUACUAUUAUCAGCAGUUGAGUUCUGCCCACUUCAGACAGCACUUCA